rnacentral:rRNA from 1 species
GUCGAGCGGAUGACGGGAGCUUGCUCCUUGAUUCAGCGGCGGACGGGUGAGUAAUGCCUAGGAAUCUGCCUGGUAGUGGGGGACAACGUUUCGAAAGGAACGCUAAUACCGCAUACGUCCUACGGGAGAAAGCAGGGGACCUUCGGGCCUUGCGCUAUCAGAUGAGCCUAGGUCGGAUUAGCUAGUUGGUGGGGUAAUGGCUCACCAAGGCGACGAUCCGUAACUGGUCUGAGAGGAUGAUCAGUCACACUGGAACUGAGACACGGUCCAGACUCCUACGGGAGGCAGCAGUGGGGAAUAUUGGACAAUGGGCGAAAGCCUGAUCCAGCCAUGCCGCGUGUGUGAAGAAGGUCUUCGGAUUGUAAAGCACUUUAAGUUGGGAGGA